GAGAAAGGCUUGCCAGCAACAAAGAUUGCUAACCCUUGUGCCCUCGGUUGGAUUCCGAAGCUCUCUCG
rnacentral:tRNA from 1 species